AUUGAACGCUGGCGGCAUGCCUUACACAUGCAAGUCGAACGGUAACAGGUCUUCGGACGCUGACGAGUGGCGAACGGGUGAGUAAUACAUCGGAACGUGCCCAGUCGUGGGGGAUAACUACUCGAAAGAGUAGCUAAUACCGCAUACGAUCUGAGGAUGAAGGCAGGGGAUCGCAAGACCUUGUGCUACUAGAGCGGCCGAUGGCAGAUUAGGUAGUUGGUGGGAUAAAAGCUUACCAAGCCAACGAUCUGUAGCUGGUCUGAAAGGACGAUCAGCCACACUGGGACUGAGACACGGCCCAG
rnacentral:rRNA from 1 species